UCUUUAGUGGCGGACGGGUGAGUAACGCGUGGGUAACCUGCCUUACACAGGGGGAUAACACUUAGAAAUAGGUGCUAAUACCGCAUAAGCGCACAGUCCCGCAUGGGACAGUGUGAAAAACUGAGGUGGUGUAAGAUGGACCCGCGUCUGAUUAGCUAGUUGGUGGGGUAACGGCCCACCAAGGCGACGAUCAGUAGCCGGCCUGAGAGGGUGAACGGCCACAUUGGGACUGAGACACGGCCCAAACUCCUACGGAAGGCAGCAG
rnacentral:rRNA from 1 species